rnacentral:rRNA from 1 species
AGCAGCCGCGGUAAUUCCAGCUCCAAUAGCGUAUAUUAAAGUUGCUGCAGUUAAAAAGCUCGUAGUUGAAUUUCGGGACCAUCAUGUCGGUCGUGCCUCGGUACGUACUGGCAUUGUUGGUUUCUACCUUCUGACGAACCAUGAUGUCAUUAAUUUGGUGUCUUGGGGAAUCAGGACUGUUACUUUGAAAAAAUUAGAGUGUUUAAAGCAGGCUCGCGCUUGAAUACAUUAGCAUGGAAUAAUGAAAUAGGACGUUUGAUUCUAUUUUGUUGGUUUCUAGGAUCGACGUAAUGAUUAAUAGGGAUAGUUGGGGGCAUUAGUAUUCAAUUGUCAGAGGUGAAAUUCUUGGAUUUAUUGAAGACUAACUACUGCGAAAGCAUUUGCCAAGGAUGUUUUCAUUAAUCAAGAACGAAAGUUAGGGAUCGAAGACGAUCAGAUACCGUCGUAGUC